UACGUAGGGUGCAAGCGUUGUCCGGAAUUAUUGGGCGUAAAGAGCUCGUAGGCGGUCUGUCGCGUCGGAUGUGAAAAUCCAGGGCUCAACCCUGGACCUGCAUUCGAUACGGGCAGACUAGAGUUCGGUAGGGGAGACUGGAAUUCCUGGUGUAGCGGUGAAAUGCGCAGAUAUCAGGAGGAACACCGGUGGCGAAAGCGGGUCUCUGGGCCGAUACUGACGCUGAGGAGCGAAAGCGUGGGGAGCAAACAGG
rnacentral:rRNA from 1 species